rnacentral:rRNA from 1 species
UACGUAGGGGGCUAGCGUUGUCCGGAAUCAUUGGGCGUAAAGCGCGUGUAGGCGGUCCGGUAAGUCCGCUGUGAAAGUCGAGGGCUCAACCCUCGAAUGCCGGUGGAUACUGUCGGGCUUGAGUACGGGAGAGGCGAGUGGAAUUCCUGGUGUAGCGGUGAAAUGCGUAGAUAUCAGGAGGAACACCGAUUGCGAAGGCGCUCUACUGGGCCACAACUGACGCUGAGGGACGAAAGCUAGGGGAGCGAAAGGG